GGGUUUGUGGCUCAGUGGUAGAGCGCUUGCCUAGCAUGUAUGAGGCACUGGGUUUGAUCCUCAGCACCA
rnacentral:tRNA from 1 species